AUUGAACGCUGGCGGCAGGCCUAACACAUGCAAGUCGAGCGAGCGGCGGACGGGUGAAUAAUGUCUGGGAAACUGCCUGAUGGAGGGGGAUAACUACUGGAAACGGUAGCUAAUACCGCAUACCAUCAGAUGUGCCCAGAUGGGAUUAGCUAGUGGGGGGGGUAAUGGCUCACCUAGGCGACGAUCCCUAGCGGGUCUGAGAGGAGGACCAGCCACACUGGAACUGAGACACGGUCCAGCCGCCGACGCGAGGCAGCAGUGGGGAAUAGGGCACAAUGGGCGCAAGCCUGAUGCAGCCAUGCCGCGUGUGUGACGAAGGCCUUCGGGUUGUAAAGCACUUUCAGCGGGGAGGCGUUACCCGAAGAAGAAGCACCGGCUAACUCCGUGCCAGCAGCCGCGGUAAUUC
rnacentral:rRNA from 1 species